GCCCCCUUAGCUCAGGGGAUAGAGCGUCUGCCUCCGGAGCAGAAGGCCACAGGUUCAAAUCCUGCAGGGGGCACCA
rnacentral:tRNA from 1 species